GAUGAACGCUGGCGGCGUGCCUAAUACAUGCAAGUCGAGCGAACGGACGAGAAGCUUGCUUCUCUGAUGUUAGCGGCGGACGGGUGAGUAACACGUGGAUAACCUACCUAUAAGACUGGGAUAACUUCGGGAAACCGGAGCUAAUACCGGAUAAUAUUUUGAACCGCAUGGUUCAAAAGUGAAAGACGGUCUUGCUGUCACUUAUAGAUGGAUCCGCGCUGCAUUAGCUAGUUGGUAAGGUAACGGCUUACCAAGGCAACGAUGCAUAGCCGACCUGAGAGGGUGAUCGGCCACACUGGAACUGAGACACGGUCCAGACUCCUACGGGAGGCAGCAGUAGGGAAUCUUCCGCAAUGGGCGAAAGCCUGACGGAGCAACGCCGCGUGAGUGAUGAAGGUCUUCGGAUCGUAAACCUCUGUUAUUAGGGAAGAACAUAUGUGUAAGUAACUGUGCACAUCUUGACGGUACAUAAUCAGAAAGCCACGGCUAACUACGUG
rnacentral:rRNA from 1 species